rnacentral:rRNA from 1 species
UACGUAGGGUGCAAGCGUUGUCCGGAAUUACUGGGCGUAAAGAGCCCGUAGGCGGUUUUGUCGCGUCGUCUGUGAAAUCCCGAGGCUCAACCUCGGGUCUGCAGUCGAUACGAGCAAACUAGAGUGUUGCAGGGGAGACUGGAAUUCCUGGUGUAGCGGUGAAAUGCGCAGAUAUCAGGAGGAACACCGGUGGCGAAGGCGGGUCUCUGGGCAACAACUGACGCUGAGGACGAAAGCGUGGGGAGCAACAGG